CAAAUUCAGUAAAGAUUAUUCUCCAAGUUUAAGUUCUGAAAAUUGAAAAAAAAAAUUAUCUAAAUCAGGUCAUAUAAAUAAUAAGUAAACACUUAACGUAAAUUUUUUUUAGAAAAACAUUAAUGCAAUUAAAAAAAACAAAAUAUCUUGAAAGAGUUUAAAAAAAUGGCAAGUAAUGAAAUAAGAAAGAAGACAAAUGGAGAAAAUUAAAAGCAUGAUAGAGAGCUAGUGAGAAAAGGACAUUAAUGUGUCUUUUGAUGGCUUGGCAAGUGA
rnacentral:lncRNA from 1 species